AACGAACGCUGGCGGCAUGCCUAACACAUGCAAGUCGAACGAGACCUUCGGGUCUAGUGGCGCACGGGUGCGUAACGCGUGGGAACCUGCCCUUAGGUUCGGAAUAACUCAGAGAAAUUUGAGCUAAUACCGGAUAAUGUCUUCGGACCAAAGAUUUAUCGCCUUUGGAUGGGCCCGCGUAGGAUUAGCUUGUUGGUGCGGUAAUGGCCUACCAAGGCGACGAUCCUUAGCUGGGCUGAGAGGAUGAUCAGCCACACUGGGACUGAGACACGGCCCAGACUCCUACGGGAGGCAGCAGUGGGGAAUAUUGGACAAUGGGCGAAAGCCUGAUCAAGCAAUGCCGCGUGAGUGAUGAAGGCAUUAGGGUUGUAAAGCGCUUUUACAAGGGAUGAUAAUGACAGUACCUGGAGAAUAAGCGCCGGCUAACUCCGUG
rnacentral:rRNA from 1 species